AGAACGAGCGCUGGCGGCAUGCCUAACACAUGCAAGUCGAACGAGACCUUCGGGUCUAGUGGCGCACGGGUGCGUAACGCGUGGGAAUCUGCCCUUGGGUACGGAAUAACAGUUAGAAAUGACUGCUAAUACCGUAUAAUGACUCCGGUCCAAAGAUUUAUCGCCCAGGGAUGAGCCCGCGUAGGAUUAGCUAGUUGGAGAGGUAAAGGCUCACCAAGGCGACGAUCCUUAGCUGGUCUGAGAGGAUGAUCAGCCACACUGGGACUGAGACACGGCCCAGACUCCUACGGGAGGCAGCAGUGGGGAAUAUGGACAAUGGGCGAAAGCCUGAUCCAGCAAUGCCGCGUGAGUGAUGAAGGCCUUAGGUUGUAAAGCUCUUUUACCCGGGAUGAUAAUGACAGUACCGGAGAAAUAAGCCCCGGCUAACUCCGCGCCAAGCAAGCCGAC
rnacentral:rRNA from 1 species